GCCUGCGUAGCUCAGAUGGUUAGAGCGCUUCCUUGGUAAGGAAGAGGUCGGCGGUUCAAAUCCGCCCGCAGGCU
rnacentral:tRNA from 1 species